AUCAUUUCUUUAAUUUGUCAACUUGACUAAUGUUUAGGUUAUUAUGGCGACCAACAGAAUUGAUAUCCUUGACUCUGCCCUUCUUAGACCUGGGAGAAUAGACAGAAAGAUCGAGUUCCCUCCUCCAAAUGAAGAGGCAAGACUUGAUAUUCUCAAGAUUCAUUCAAGGAAGAUGAAUCUUACAAG